AGGACGAACGCUGGCGGCGUGCUUAACACAUGCAAGUCGAGCGGUAAGGCCUUUCGGGGUACACGAGCGGCGAACGGGUGAGUAACACGUGGGUGAUCUGCCCUGCACUUCGGGAUAAGCCUGGGAAACUGGGUCUAAUACCGGAUAUGACCUGCUCUCGCAGUGGGGGUGGGUGGAAAGAUUUAUCGGUGCAGGAUGGGCCCGCGGCCUAUCAGCUUGUUGGUGGGGUAAUGGCCUACCAAGGCGACGACGGGUAGCCGACCUGAGAGGGUGACCGGCCACACUGGGACUGAGACACGGCCCAGACUCCGUACGGGAGGCAGCAGGUGGGAAUAUUGCACAAGUGGGACGAAAGCCUGAUGCAGCGACGCCGCGUGAGGAUGAAGGCCGUUCGGGUUCGUAAACCUCUUCAGCGAGGACGAAGCGACAAGUGACGGUACCUGCAAGAA
rnacentral:rRNA from 1 species